AUCUUGUGUUUGUCUUGCUCUUAUUUAAACCGUAAAUGCUUCAGGGCAGGGAGCUUGUUUUAUCUCUGUUUGUCAAGUUCAUGGGGCUGCAUAAAUGCUUUUGAUAAUCCAUAACAACCAUAAAAUUGGUCAUUUUAGAAAAAGAAACAGAUUAACCAUAGGAAGGUGUGGUUUAACUCCUACAGGACCACCUUCUGGGUUUUUGGGGUGUAUGGGUGUGGGCUGUUUUACAAGAAGGUAUACAUGGAUCGUUUCUGGAGAGAAGGAACAGUUAGCACCAAUGAGCUGUUGUCAAGUUCCUGAUUCCCUUUGCUGCUGUUGCUUUCUUCUGUUCCUCUUGUUGCAUGCACCCACUUCCCUGAGCAGUAUGGCACCCCUGAGAGGUAAGUCCUCCUGGAACCAAUCCACAGCACCUUUGCUCCACCCGAUCUUCAAAAAAUAGUGCAAAAACACCUGGAGGACCAAAGUUUUGAACCCACUGCACUAGUGCAAAGGCUUGACUGGAUCCAUGUCCCAUCUGUAUGGGAAGAGCCCUCAUUCCCAGAAGGGCAUUUAUAACUGAGCAAGAAGAAGAAGGUGAAGGUGAUACAUUAAAUGAAGAGAGUCCUCAAGAGGAAGUAUGAAUGGGCUCCAUUUGCUUUCUUAAAACUUCUCUGAGACAUUACAAAGGAUGGCAGGUGCCCUCAGACCUGCAGAACACCAGAGAGAGAGAGAGAGAGAAGGACUGUGUUCACCACAGUGGGAUGUGUUUUCAGUUUUUCUCACCAUGUCUUUUUGAGGGUUUAUUGGAUCCUAUUAGUGUAACUCCAGUUUCUCUGCCAAAGAACCCUUGUUUUGAAGGGACCUAUAGGACUUGGGUUGAAACACUAAAUUUUAAGAUGUGAUCCAAAUAUUUUAUUCCCUCUAUAGUCUCCUCAAUCACUCUUGCCCUUUGAAUUCCUUUGAGCAACCAAAAUUUCAUUAGAACUUUUCAUGUUCUCAGACUAAACCCUUCAAUCCCUUACUGUGAUGGUUCCCAACUUGCUGGUCAUCAAGUUUUGAACCAGCAUUCAUCAUCAUUGGGCAUGUUGUCUGGGACAUGGGGUGAUUGAGGGGAUCUACGUUUGGAUAGCACUGCCUUACUACAGCUCCUAGGGACCAAAUCAUCAGGCAACCUAAAGGAGAAUAGACUGCCAAAGUAUACAGUCCUUUAGCCUCUAACGUUCACUGCAUAUAAAAAGGUGCCAUUCUACCAUGGUUAUAAGCAACAAGGAUUGCUCUUCCCCUGUUAGUCACAAAUAUGAGAUGAUGAACAUUAGGACCUUCAGGACCGUGAACCAGAGGAGGAGACAGGAUCAUAGUGCUAUCUUUGACAAUGCCAACACUUGUUCUUUGUGGUAGUUUGCUGUGAGGCAAAUACUCUGGUUAGCAACUUGAGACAAAACAACAACAGCACAAAAUGGUAUUUAUUGUCUUUCUGGCACAGCAGAUAUUCUUUGCUUUGAAGGACUGUCGGUUGUGAAGCAGAUACUUUGGUCAGCAACUUUGAGCCAAAGAAACAAGGGAGUAUUUGUUGUUCACCUAAAGCAAUGCUUGCUCUCCUAGUUAAAGAAUUACAGGACUUUACCUGUUCUUAUUCUCUUCCAGUGCAAGGAGCAAAGGGCUUAAUAGUCUGCCUGGCUUGUGUCAGAUUGCAAUUAAAGGGGCACAUUCAAGAAACGUGAAUGGCUUUCUUUUAGAUCUCCAUCCAAAGACUCUUAACUCUAAAAGAAUUCCAGGGUGCUCUUUUAAUUAAAGAAGAAAACAAACCAUAAAUCUUUCACAGCCGAACUUUUAUCAAAGCUAUUGAAUUGGCACUGCAUGAGUUUCCUUGAAAUAACAAACGUCUGGUAUAUCAUUCAUGAGUACUCUUGGCUAUAAAAGACCCACAGCCAUUUCUAUCAAGACAUGGUAAAGUCUUUGGGGCAAACAUAGUGGGAAGGUGUGGAGAAGUCCAUUUGAAUCCCACAUUUUAAAACCUCUAUUUUUCUUUUAAAGAGAGAGAAAGAGAUAUGCAUACAGUACAUUGUUGUCAUACUCACCCAUUCAAGAUCCUGGAUUUAAAAAAAAAUCUGAGGGAGGCCCAUUUUAGCUAGAUUCUUUGCUUCUUAGAUCUCCCUUCAGGCCUGAGCUAGUUGGCAGAAUUCAUUUCAUAUAUAUAUAUAUAUAUAUAUUUUAAAAAACCUCCUACUGAUGUAUUUUCUUGCACAAUUAACCAGAAGGUUGUAUCUUCCAUACUUGGCUCUUUCUGGAUCCAGAGUUUAGGUGUAAAUAAUAGCAAUUUCUUCAUGACUCUCUGACUACAGUUUAAGAGAAUGAUAUCUCUAGUUUCUUAAAAUCAUUCCCCCUUCUUGUGAUUUUUUUCCUUUUUGGUCCUUAAGUGUCACAUACCAUGAUAUCUACACGACUAUGAGGAAUUCUGUGUAUCCACUGAUGGCCACACUUUUUUGCUUUGGAAUCCAUCAAUCUGUUUUAAAUAGAACAUUCCUUGCAUUAAAGUUGUGAUGGGCACAGUCCCUUUUUAAAAAGAAUCUGAAGUGCACCUUUCAUCUCAUUGCAUCCUGGGUCAGUGCCAGAUUCUUUCUCAUUUUGUUAGUGAUCACAUAAGGCAAUCCCACCUGCCACCAUGUCCCUUUUGCCAUGCAUAGGAAUAGCUGAAAACAAAGAGGAAGGACACAAUAGAAGAAUAUAUUUGUUGUGGUGCAAUGGGUUGAGAGGUCCGCAUUUUAGUAUCCAAUGAGGCAUGAAACUCAGUGAUCUCUCAUUUACCCUCUCUCCCAGCCUACCCUACUUUACAAGAUCAUUGCAAAGAUAUUGGGGGAGUUGAAAAACUAAUUAAAAAGACCUUGAGUUGGUUGAAGAAAAGAUAUGCUGUACAUGAAACAAGCAAAAAAAUAAAUGCUAGAUUGUGAUAUUCCUGUUCAGCUAAAACAUUUCUGACAUGCCACGCUGAUUACUUAAAAUGUAGUUUUAUGAUACCUCUGUACUGAUCUUUUUAGCAGGUAUCUACUCAUCAUGUCUUCUUAAACAUCCAUUGUGUUAUUGCCAGCUGAACUAAUGUAUGUACAUUGCCUUCACACCUUGCUAUUUUUCUCUCAUUCCUUUGUUGCUUUCUCCUGUGCUGGGUUUUUGAUUGUGAGCCCCUCAAGUCACAAGGGAAGGGGCUGUCUAUGUUACUCUAUAAAGCAUCAGGUGUUAUUUUAACUAGGUUGAUGGGGUGGAUGAUGAUAAAAUUAUUGUUAUUCUCUGACCAGGUGACAAAACUCACUUCUCCUGCAAAUAUCUUGCUUGCAAUGUGGGCCUAACCAAGGCAGCAGGACAAUAGUGUUGUGAUAGUAAUUGACUGUAUGAUAAGAAUCAUAGUAGCCUAGUCAUCCUAUUUUAUUGUAUUGUAUGGUUCUUGUGUUUUAAAUGGUUGUCCUAGGACAGAAGGGAGAAAUAUGUUAAAUAAAUAUUGUACCUGUGAGUAUAUCCAGCUGUAGGGCCUUUGCAAAGUCUUUUCUGACAGUAGCACUGCCAGUAUAAGCCUUUUUUCCCCCAAAUCUGGAGCUUUGUUCAGCAGCUCUUCCAAACUCUUCAGUCCUUAUGACUCUCUUUAAAAGCUGGUACUCAGCAUUGCUCUAAUCUAUAACUCUGGGCUGGAUGAGACUUGUAAUCUCAGGAGUGAGGCUGAAAUUGGGUCUAAUGGGCCAGAGUCAAGGGAAACGUGACAGCAGAUCUUACCACUUCCUUUGGAAACUUGCCUGCUCUUCCUCCCUCUUCCUUCAUCAUUGCUCACCACUGUGGUCUUGAAGGUUCUAGGCAAAGUUUACAACAAUUAACUAAAUGAUGCACCCAAUCAUUGCGAGACUGUCCCCUCUGAGACAUCCUUAGACACUGACUAUCCUAACUCUAUCCUCUGGACAAUUUUGUCAUCUUGAUCCCUGCCUGAUUAUUCACAUCAAAUGUCACAUUCAGCAUCUGGCUGAAUUUGGAGAUCUGCAGAACUUUAACUUUACUUGGUGGAACUUUUAAUAUGAUUAAACAUGAGUAGACUUGUAUGUCUAUAAAGGUUUCUUAGAGCACUGAUAUUCACAGUGGUAAAUUUGUGGACUAGUGACAGUCCCUGCUGAGUUUCCAGCAAGAAAGAAACAAUGGUUGCUGAUGGGAACAAAUACGGUGUGCCCCUGGCACUCUGGGGGGGAAAACUCCCCAUACCAGAUAUCAUCAUCAUCAUCAUCAUCAUCAUCAUUUGUAUUUUCCUGCCUCUCCCGAUGGAUCAAAGCAGGAUUACAAUCAUAAGAAGCAAUGACCUAGAAGAUUAUUCCCCAGUGUGGUGCUCUCUAUAUUUUGGAUGACCCCCUCCCCCAUAAGCCCCCGUUAGCAUGAGCAAUAAUUGGGGAUGAUGUGGGUUGUAGCCCAAAAUAUUGGGAGAGCUCGAUUGUAAAAGGCCAGUCUGGAGAAUAUCGGCAACUCCCUCCCCUACCUGUUCAACUGUUAUCCUGCACGAACAAUUAUUAUUCAGCUAUAUAUCUGCAGCCAAAAUAAAAUUAGGAGUAUUUCCUCCAAAGCAUCCUGCUCAAAAAGCUAACAAACUCUGUUUCUUAUUAAUAACGAUUGCCUGCAAGUGAACUGGUGAACUUUACAACCUGUGUUCUAUUUUUAAAAGAUUUGGAAAGUUUUUCACAAUAGUGGUCACCCUUUCAGCUGCAGCACGAGUGCCAUCUUGUGGUUCCAAUGUUCCUUUAGCUUUGCCUGAAACUUUCACAAUUCAGUGCCACCUGGUGUGUGAGAUGGAUUGGAAAUCAGAGGGUAGGAUGGGACAGGAUGGAUAUGAAUGGGUUGGAACGGUAUGAAUGUAGCAGUCUAGUGUGAGCCGUGAGCAGCAGGAAAAAAUACCUUUAUGUUGACUGAGGUUGGGGAAAGUAUGCAUGGAUGAAUGAACAAGGGGAUAGAGUAUGCAGUGUGUGAGUAAACAGAAUACAGGACAGGAGCAGCUCCCAAAAGCUAAAAUAACUAGAGGGCUAUUCAUUUGUACCCUGCUCCUCAUCAGUAAAAUAUAUAUUUGGGGAAAAACACUGUAACUCAAGCUGACUUUUUAAAAACAGUAAAAUUUUAAAGCUGCUAUCUCCUAUGAUUCCAGCCUAUUCCUAGUGGUACAGCCUAUUCCUAGUUCUUUCAUACUCAUAUAAAGUGCCAUCUUACUAGAGCUGUAUUUCUAUCGGUUUUCUGUAACAGCACUGCCAUCUCUCUCCCUCCCUUACAGUGUCUCAAUCAUAACUAUUGUAUAUGCUGUACUGUGAGUGAUACACCUAAACGUUGUCCAUGCUAUGAACUAAGGAAGAUCAAUAGCAUCCUCUAGUGGUGCAAUGAACUCAACUCAGUGCAAAAACAUUGACUAGAAUUCAUCCAUCAGCUUUGUGUAGCUUUUGAAACUCAAGCUGGUAAACAUAGCAUAGAAAAGCAACAUUUAGGCUGUCCAAAGAGAAUGUUGAACUUUACUGGGUAAGAACAAAGAACAUUUAUGCGACUUUAGUAAGAAUGGUAAAAUUCCCCAGACAGAUACUGUUAUUAGGCCUUAAUUAAGGAAACUUUUCCUAAGAAGCUACUCACUUAUGAGUAACCAUUCAUCUGUAAAUAAUAAUCAGUUUUCCUUUUUAGUGAGGAUAUACUGGCAUGAUCAGAGAAAUUCAAAAGGAGACUGUGCUAUUCUUCAGCUCAUAAAUAUGUUCUACCCUGCAAUUUAGGAGGCUCUAGAAACAAAUUUAUCAAACUGCGUUGUAAAAUAGUCUAACUUGUACCCUAAAAAACAGUUCUCUUGCAUGUUCCCUUUGUGAACAUGACCUUAUGUACCAUGGACACCUCUUACUGUCAACAUAUCUGCACUGAUAUGUUGCCACUGGAAAAUAUAAAGAUUUGCUUCUUUUGGGACAUUUAUCACUGGAAUUGAUAAAUAUGCAAAAAUCUCUGAGGUGUUACUAGUUUCAUGACCAUAGUUUUUUGUGGGUUUUUCGGGCCAUGUGGCCAUGUUCUAGAAGAGUUUCUUCCUGAUGUUUCACCAGCAUCUGUGGCUGGCAUCUUCAGAGAUG